UGGAGCGAUCAUACCAGUACUGAUACACCGGAUCCCAUCGAAACUCCGAAGUUAGGCAUGCUUGGGCGAGAGUAAUACUAAGAUGAGUUUUGUAACAGGACUUUCACAGACACAGG
rnacentral:rRNA from 1 species